GAGAAGAACGUAGCGAAAUGCGAUAAGUAAUGUGAAUUGCAGAAUUCAGUGAAUCAUCGAGUCUUUGAACGCACAUUGCGCCCCCUGGUAUUCCGGGGGGCAUGCCUGUCCGAGCGUCAUUGCUGCCCUCAAGCACGGCUUGUGUGUUGGGCCCCGCCCCCCUCCCGGGGGGCGGGCCCGAAAGGCAGCGGCGGCACCGCGUCCGGUCCUCGAGCGUAUGGGGCUUUGUCACCCGCUCUGUAGGCCCGGCCGGCGCCCGCCGGCGACCCCAAUCAAUCUUUCCAGGUUGACCUCGGAUCAGGUAGGGAUACCCGCUGAACUUAAGCAUAUCAAUAAGCGGAGGA
rnacentral:misc_RNA from 1 species